AUACGUAGGGAGCAAGCGUUAUCCGGAAUUACUGGGUGUAAAGGGAGUGUAGGCGGGACUGUUAAGUCAGAUGUGAAAUAUGCCGGCUCAACUGGCAGACUGCAUUUGAAACUGUGGUUCUUGAGUGAAGUAGAGGUAAGCGGAAUUCCUGGUGUAGCGGUGAAAUGCGUAGAUAUCAGGAGGAACAUCAGUGGCGAAGGCGGCUUACUGGGCUUUAACUGACGCUGAGGCUCGAAAGCGUGGGGAGC
rnacentral:rRNA from 1 species